rnacentral:misc_RNA from 1 species
GAUGAGAACGUAGCGAAAUGCGAUAAGUAAUGUGAAUUGCAGAAUUCAGUGAAUCAUCGAAUCUUUGAACGCACAUUGCGCCCCCUGGAAUUCCGGGGGGCAUGCCUGUUCGAGCGUCUCAGGGACGAACCCUCGCGCGGGUGUACGCGCGGUCGUGGCUGCGGUGGCGUGCCCGAGGCGGCGGCCACCGCGCUGGAAUCCAUGGGCGGACGCCUGCCGCGUGGCCGAGCGUGAUAUGACGCAUUGGCGCUCGCACGCGGCGAGGCUGCCAGCCCUGGCCCGUCUGUCGGGCGGGGGAGAGCAAGACACGUGAACUCCUCGAAUCAGGUAGGGAUACCCGCUGAACUUAAGCAUAUCAAUAAGCGGAGGA